UACGUAGGGAGCGAGCGUUGUCCGGAAUUACUGGGUGUAAAGGGAGCGUAGACGGCGAUGCAAGCCAGAUGUGAAAACCCGCGGCUCAACUGCGGGACUGCAUUGGAAACUGGCGGGCUUGAGUGCCGGAGAGGCAAGCGGAAUUCCUAGUGUAGCGGUGAAAUGCGUAGAUAUUAGGAGGAACACCAGUGGCGAAGGCGGCUUGCUGGACGGUAACUGACGCUGAGGCUCGAAAGCGUGGGGAGCAAACAGG
rnacentral:rRNA from 1 species